rnacentral:rRNA from 1 species
AUACGUAGGGGGCAAGCGUUAUCCGGAAUCAUUGGGCGUAAAGGGUGCGUAGGCGGCCCUAUAGGUCAGAGGUCAAAGGCUACGGCUCAACCGUAGUAAGCCUUUGAAACUGUAGGGCUUGAGUGCAGGAGAGGAGAGUGGAAUUCCUAGUGUAGCGGUGAAAUGCGUAGAUAUUAGGAGGAACACCAGUGGCGAAGGCGACUCUCUGGACUGCAACUGGCGCUGAGGCACGAAAGCGUGGGGAGCGAACAGGAUUAGAUACCCUGGUAGUCCACGCCGUAAACGAUGAGUGCUAGGUGUUGGGGGUCGAACCUCGGUGCCGCAGUUAACGCAUUAAGCACUCCGCCUGGGGAGUACGUACGCAAGUAUGAAACUCAAAUGAAUUGACGGGG